rnacentral:rRNA from 1 species
UACAGAGGGGGCAAGCGUUGUUCGGAAUUACUGGGCGUAAAGGGCGCGUAGGCGGCCUGUUAAGUCGAACGUGAAAUCCCCGGGCUCAACCCGGGAACUGCGUCCGAUACUGGCAGGCUUGAAUCCGGGAGAGGGAUGCGGAAUUCCAGGUGUAGCGGUGAAAUGCGUAGAUAUCAGGAGGAACACCGGUGGCGAAGGCGGAUCUCUGGGCCAUUACUGACGCUGAGGAGCGAAAGCGUGGGGAGCGAACAGG